rnacentral:misc_RNA from 1 species
GAAAUGCGAUAAGUAAUGUGAAUUGCAGAAUUCAGUGAAUCAUCGAAUCUUUGAACGCACCUUGCGCUCCUUGGUAUUCCUUGGAGCAUGCCUGUUUGAGUAUCAUGAAAUCUUCAAAGUAAAUCUUUUGUUAACUCAAUUGGUUUCUACUUUGGUAUUGGAGGUCUUUGCAGCUUCACACCUGCUCCUCUUUGUUCAUUAGCUGGAUCUCAGUGUUAUGCUUGGUUCCACUCGGCGUGAUAAGUUAUCUAUCGCUGAGGACACUGUAAAAGGUGGUCAAGGUAAAUGCAGAUGAACCGCUUCUAAUAGUCCUUUGACUUGGACAAUACUUUUAUGAUCUGAUCUCAAAUCAGGUAGGACUACCCGCUGAACUUAAGC